rnacentral:rRNA from 1 species
GACGAACGCUGGCGGCGUGCUUAACACAUGCAAGUCGAACGGAAAGGCCCUGCUUUUGUGGGGUGCUCGAGUGGCGAACGGGUGAGUAACACGUGUGUAACCUGCCCUUGACUUUGGGAUAACUUCAGGAAACUGGGGCUAAUACCGGAUAGGAUCUCCUGCUGCAUGGUGGGGGGUGGAUAGUUUCGGCGGUUGGGGAUGGACUCGCGGCUUAUCAGCUUGUUGGUGGGGUAGUGGCUUACCAAGGCUUUGACGGGUAGCCGGCCUGUGAGGGUGACCGGCCACAUUGGGACUGAGAUACGGCCCAGACUCCUACGGGAGGCAGCAGUGGGGAAUAUUGCACAAUGGGCGGAAGCCUGAUGCAGCAACGCCGCGUGCGGGAUGACGGCCUUCGGGUUGUAAACCGCUUUCGCCUGUGACGAAGCGUGAGUGACGGUAAUGGGUAAAGAAGCACCGGCUAACUACGUG